ACUAUCCCUUUGCACAAAACUGAGUUUCUUCCAGAGUGGUUUGUAAGUGAAGAAUGGUGCAGAAAAGAAGAACCAGGGAGGCACUUCAGUCUGGAUGCAACAUAAUUUUAAUAUGAAUGAGAAACACAACAUACACCGGCAGAAUGAACUGAUUUUGGGUGGAAAGGAAUUCAAACAGAGCUACCACCAAUCCCCCACAAAGUUGUGCAACCUAUGACUCAUACUACACCUCCUAUGUAACUUGGUUCCUGAAUGAAUGGGGAUGGAUGAGGGUGCUUGAGAGACAAUGACAGUAGGCCUAAAAAUAGCUCCUUCUGAAUGACCGAACCAUCAACACCAAUACCUGGACCAAUGGCCCAGCCCUUGGAACCACCCUCAGCAUUCAAGAAACAAAAGAUGAGGCAACUCACCAUUGUGCCAAGGCUGCACAUGCUCAGUAAGAAAAUCUGGAACCCUCUCGAACAGGACCAACCUUGCCUGGACAGGCCCCCCCAUAGGAGAUCAUAGGUACUCUACCCCAUAAAAAGAGGCAGUGAAGACUGACUCCUUGGGAAUGCCAUUUCCAUCUGGACUAGCACCAUGCCACACCACAUAUCCUCCCCAAAGGCCCCGCUGGCGACCCCCUCUGGACAAGUCUGAGCUGAAGGAGACGCCGACUGGCCAUCGAGGACCCACUUUCAGCCUACAAUAGGUAGAUACCACCUGCAUAUUUCCUCCUCCAAUUUGUGAAUGGCGAGGGUUGCCUGUACUCUGGUGUCAUGCAAAACAUCUAUUUUGCUAUCCUUUAAACCUAAGAUGCAAUGUAAUUAAAGAAUGCAAUUGAAAAAAAA